rnacentral:rRNA from 1 species
GAUGAACGCUGGCGGCGUGCCUAAUACAUGCAAGUCGAGCGAAUCUUCUGGAACUUGUUCCGGAAGGUUAGCGGCGGACGGGUGAGUAACACGUGGGCAACCUGCCUGUAAGACUGGGAUAACACCGGGAAACCGGUGCUAAUACCGGAUAAUCCUUUUCCUCUCAUGAGGAAAAGCUGAAAGUCGGUUUCGGCUGACACUCACAGAUGGGCCCGCGGCGCAUUAGCUAGUUGGUGAGGUAACGGCUCACCAAGGCGACGAUGCGUAGCCGACCUGAGAGGGUGAUCGGCCACACUGGGACUGAGACACGGCCCAGACUCCUACGGGAGGCAGCAGUAGGGAAUCUUCCACAAUGGACGAAAGUCUGAUGGAGCAACGCCGCGUGAGCGAUGAAGGCCUUCGGGUCGUAAAGCUCUGUUGUUAGGGAAGAACAAGUACCGGAGUAACUGCCGGUACCUUGACGGUACCUAACCAGAAAGCCACGGCUAACUACGUGCCAGCCGCCGCAGUAAAAC